rnacentral:lncRNA from 1 species
AGAAACCGAAAUUCAAGAGAUUUGCUCAAGUUUACACAGCUGUUUAGGGUCAGCCAAGUCCAAGUUAAACAACAUAAGCCCCUUUGCUCGUCUCUACAGGCCCAGGGCUCAAACUGCGCCUCUGGGGUUCCUGGCGCGCGGCGAUCAGGGGCCAUCGAAAGGCCAGAGGAGGGCCCAACGCAGACGUUUGUUUUCAUCUUCUCCAAGGCGGAUCUCGCAGGCCAGAGAAGUGGGUCCCGCUUACCGCGGGGCUGUUACCAAAAAAGGCCUUUCUCUCGCUGGAGCGCUUGGCGGCGCGCGUUGCAGCAGGGUGACGCGAGGUUCAGCCCGGGCCUCCUUGAAGGUUGAGCCAGCUGACUGCAGGGCUGCCAGGCCAAGAGCCCCCCCUCCGCAACACACACACACACCCGCGCCCCGUCUCUGCCACAAAACGGCGGGGGCAGGAGAGAGAGUGCAGGGAGCUUCGAAGUGCGCGCCUGGCGACCUUCUCACCACUAGUAACCUUGGGCUAUGGUGCUCCGGCAAGGCCAGGUGGAAAGCUGACCUUUUGCUCCAGUUUAGAGCAGGGUUCUCUGAGGAUGCCAGCCCAGAUGGCAAGCUGGGUGGGGAAAGCGACAGUAGGAAGGAACUUUGGGAAGAUGAUGCCGCCGUUUGGCGCCCGGCUCUGCUAGUCUCUGCUUGUCUCCCAGACCCCAUGGACAGAGUUCUUUGAGUCUCUACACCUGGCAGUUUACGUUGAGGCUCCUCCACCUCCACCACCCCCCUCCCAAAUCCUUUCCAGUUCCUUUCCACCGUUGUCAUAGUUUUGUUCCACGGGACUCUUCUUCAGGGAGAAAACCCACCUCCAGAACACUGGAGUUCUAGCCUCUCACCGUCUCUCACACAUCCCCAAACGGCCAUCUCAGGCAACAAGAGAUACCACAAAUGAUGUUGAUUCUUUUUUUUGGUUGGGGGGGGGGGGGCGGUUUGGAGACAGCUGUGUUUUAUAAAUGAAAGGAUUAUGAGUCUGUAAUGGAAGUCUGUUUAAAUACACGUUGAUUUCUAACUCAGUGUGUCUGAAGGCACCCCAGCAUGUAUGUGUGUAUAUAUAUCUCCUUUAGUAACAGUGAAGACAGAGACAGACAGGGAGAUGGAGACAUAUGUGUGUGCAUACCAAACAUAACACCAUGACAUAGAAUCCAACUUGCUUUCUCUAGCAGCCUGGCUGGAGGGUUGUGGCUAAGUUGCUAUUUCCCUAAUAUUUUUGGUUUAAUAAAGGGAAGGGCUGAAUAAAUAUUAAUGUAAAGAAAUGGGUCACCCAACCGAG